AGAAAAGAUGAUGAUGAUCUGAUUGGAUAUAUCUUGAACGGAUUGAACUCUGAUUACAAUCCGUUUGUUUCCUCGGUGGCGAGCAAGGACUCAUUGUCCUUGAGUGAUGUCUACGGUCAGCUUCUAUC
rnacentral:snoRNA from 1 species